GGGAAUUUAAGGUUGUAGAAAUUCUGGGCAGUGAAAAAGUUAAUUUGCCAGAGGGACAGCACCAUUUUCCUUUAUCUGUGUGAAGACAAAUAGAAUCUGUGUGCCAAGUGUGACUGUCACCAAUCUCUUCCUUCCUAUCCCACGAAAGGGCCUCAUUUGAUUCUUUCUUAUUUUCUUCCUUCCAAUGCAGGAUCCUUGCAAAUCCUGUUCCCUGUGCUAAGACUGCACCAAUUUCCUCCACUAUUCAGCUAAGGUAACUCUUAUUCAUCUCCAAGCUCCAGGAUAAAGUCCAAAAUCCUUAACAUGGACAACAACAACAAAGAUCUUGUGUGAUCUAACUUCACACAGCUCUGGUGUCAUAGGCGAUACUCCAUGAAUGCCUGUGGAAUGGAUAACCAAAUGAAGGGAGUUUACCAGUGGAACAGAUCAGAUUCAGAUUUGAUGAGCAGCAAAUCAAUGAAACAGACACAUCACCACAGUUGAAAAUGGAAGAUGGAGAAAAAUUGAUAUAAUAGAGGACAGUAUAGAAUACCAAAAAAAUUGACCUGAGACUUCAUAAUUCUGUUCCUGUAAACAAGGGCCUUCAGGUUUUAAAUAACAUACUAGACAUUGUUAUUCCUUCUGUGUAGCAGAUACAAGAGGCAAUAUUUUCACUUUUAUGUUGGAGGUGAUGUCGUGGCAUACCUCGGACCACUGGAGCUAACUGAAUGUUACAUCCUGAAUCUUCAUAAGGUUUCUCUCCCAUCCUCUGGAGUGCCUGUGUCUUACUGAGCCUACAGCAGUACAAGCUAGAAGCCAACUCUUGCUCACCUUGCCUGCUCAACAUGAUGUCAUCAAUGCAGUGGAUUAAAGUGAAGUACCACGUGAUGUCCAGAUGGCCUGGACUCUUCAGAUUUUAUUACGAUGGCGUGCAUGAGCACUGAUACAGCUCCAGGGAAAAACUCUGAGUAAUUCUGUUGUCCAUUGCACAUGAAAGUUAACUUUCUGAUUAUUUCUUUUGAUUCUAAUAGAAAAACAUGUAUUCAAUCAGGUAAUGAUCAUAUACCACAUACCUGAGGCUUUGCUAAUCUGCUUCAGCCAUGCUACAAAAUCCUGCAAUCAGGAUUACUAUUUGAUUGAGCUGGCAGUAAUCAUUUUUGUGGAUCAUCUGGAUUCUUCUUCUGAGAAACAAAUUGUGAAUCAAAUUUCUGACUGGAUCACUCACCCAUGCAUGCAUCCUGAAACUUUAAUAGUAGCAUUACUAUCUGCCAUACACACACACACACACCAAACAUGCACAUGCUUAAUGAGGUGGGAUUUUGUUUUUGAUCUACAUAAAAUGUUGGCAACUGGGAGGUUUCAGAGGAUUUCACCUGUCUUCCUCAUUGAAAUAUUAGGGCCCUUUUAUGGGUGUUAUUCCAAAUGUCUAAUAUGUAAGCAUAAAUUUCAUACUUGGGAAUCAGAGAAUUAAGUUGACAAGCACGUGGGUGGUCAGAGAGUGGAUCCAUUAUAGGCCAGAAUUUAACCGGCACUCUAUCAAUUACCUGGUUCCAUAUGCAUCCACUCUAACCAGAGAACAAUGGUUUGCAUCACAUCAAUGUCAACUUAGAUAUGUGUCCCUUAGUUCACACAUGGUCUGGAUGUUCCCUUUUUCUCAAUGUGCAGAAACUGACAUAGUUUCUUUGAGUAAGGAAAAUAAUUCCAAUAUAUAUUUGUUGGGGUGCGGCAGAGUUCUUCCACCUAGAGACCUAGCUAUCGCUUUAGUUCAUGAGUUCCAGAUUUAAAACUGGGCUGUUUCUCAAAUGGAGCAAGGGACACAGCUGGCUACCUAAUUAAUGGGUCUCAUAAUUAAUGGGUCUCAAUGGAAAUCAAAUUGUGAGGUCCCUUAUUGAAAAAGCAGAAAACAGAGCUGUUGACAGUA